rnacentral:rRNA from 1 species
CCUACGGGAGGCAGCAGUAGGGAAUUUUCCACAAUGGGCGAAAGCCUGAUGGAGCAAUACCGCGUGCAGGAUGAAGGCCUUCGGGUCGUAAACUGCUUUUAUGUGCGAAGAAUUUGACGGUAACACAUGAAUAAGGAUCGGCUAACUACGUGCCAGCAGCCGCGGUCAUACGUAGGAUCCAAGCGUUAUCCGGAAUUACUGGGCGUAAAGAGUUGCGUAGGUGGCAUUAUAAGUGGAGCGUGAAAGCGUGCGGCUCAACCGCAUUAUUGCGUUCCAAACUGUGAAGCUUGAGUAUGGGAGAGGUAGAUGGAAUUUCUAGUGUAGGAGUGAAAUCCGUAGAUAUUAGAAGGAACACCGAUGGCGUAGGCAGUCUACUGGCCCAUUACUGACACUAAGGCACGAAAGCGUGGGGAGCAAACGGGAUUAGAUACCCCGGUAGUCCACGCUGUAAACUAUGGAUGCUAGCUGUGACACACAUCGACCUGUGUCGUAGCGAAGUUAACGCGUUAAGCACUCCGCCGUCGGGAGGUACGGUCGCGAGAUAAACUACGAAGAAGUAGACGCGUGNGACGUGCGACGGACGACGACGAGGGAGAGG